GCUGUCACAAAAAUUUCUCGAAGCAGACCACGGCUCAAAAAAAAUGACCACAGAAAAAAUCUCUCACGUCAUCUCCCCCCUCCUGCUAUAUCCACACGAGCUCUCCCUUCCACCGAUCCACAAGCUAUAUUGGUCUGUUUCGUUUUCCCCAAUCCAACUCCAUCCCCCUCCCUUCACGAGUUCUCCUGGUCUCCUCUUCCCCAAUCCCACUCGAUCCCCUCCAGGAAUCCCUCUCGCUCCCUGCUGCCCCUCUCCCCUCUCCCUCAAUCCUCCCCCCUCUCUCUCCCCCUGCUCUCCUUGGUGAGCGACCUACGCACGAGACCAUGGGCGCGGCGGCGACAGGAGCAGCGGGAUUUCCGCGACCCGUGCGUGGCCCGCGGGAGCCGCGGCGGCGGGCGCGAGGAACCGGCUACGGGCGGGCAGAAGCGGCGGCGGCCGGCCCUGGACAGCAAGCGCAGGGCAGCGGCAGCGGCCGGCUCGGGGAGUAACGGCGGCCGGCCGGGAGGAGCUGCGAGUCGCCGGCCUGAAGGUGGGAGGAGCCGCGAGUCGCGGCCGGCCGGGAGGAACACCGUCGAUCUGUGCGGGCGAGCGCCUUAUAGGACGGGGUCGCCUGCGCGUCAACACCGAAGGCAUCGCGUAUGUGGUCGACUCUGAGGAUGAAGACUCUGACAUGGAGGUCGAGGCGGAUGGCGUGGGGGUGGUGCCGGCCGACGGACCUGGUGGCCAGGUUCUGUCCGUGGAGGGGCCUCCGGUGGUGGACGCAGAUGAGGCUUCCGAGAUGGAUCUGGCCCCGGAGGUGGCUGCAUGUCUGAAGAAGGUGCUCGCUAAUAUUGAUCCCAUCUACCAUGGGGUCUUUGUCAGCAUGUGCAAGGUUUUGGUCCCUAUAUUCUUCCGUCCCUAGUUCAUAUGUUGAUGUAUUAUGUGUGCAGUGAUAGUGCUUACGAUGCAUGCUUUUGUUGUGGGAUGGUGAACUGCUGUCUAGAUUAUUAGGUACUAGUUGUGACAAUGAACUGUUAGUUGUGUCAUAUGAAAUGCGGGUUGGGACAGAGAAGUUUUUGAAAUUAUACCACCACCACCACAUAACGUAGCAGCCACACACCAUAUAUUACAGUAGUUACAAAAUGCGAUGACAUUAUAUUACAGUAGUCCUAAUGAUGCGAUGACAUCCUCAUAUAGCUGGCGAUCACAACUAAGACUUUUAGGUAGCAUGUCUAGUGCAUCUAGCCUAUCUUUGUUGAUGUGAGGAAUCUUGUAUCUGUUUCCUCCACCAUCUUUCAUCACUUCAAUCAUACACCCUUGUAGUGUUAGAAACACCCUGUUCAAAGCUGCUGGACCAUAGUUAUCAAACUCCUUCUGUACAUUCUCAAUAAGCUCAUCUAAGUUCCUAGAGAUCCGUUCAUUGGUUAAGGAUUGAAGAGACGUAAAGAAUCCCAGGUCUAGGACAUUCAAAUCAGGAGAAUUGGCUGGCUGGUUGACGAGUCGUAUGUCAAGCCCUGUUUGUGCUACAGCAGCAGCAAAUUCUUCAUCGUCUACCGGGAGAUGUGAAGGAGCAUUAUCUUGCUGAAUCCAAAUGGUUUUUCCAGCAUAUUCUCGUGGCCAUCGUUCAACAAUAGCUUUUAGAACUUUACCAAUCAUGUAAGACCUCAUAGUACUUCGAUCCACCUUAAUCGGCUUAGUGAUUUGGGUCCCCCUUCCUCUGUUGUGGCUUCUUCUUUUUGCUUGUUCCUAGAGUAAAUAAAACCAAGUAAGGAUCACAAAUUUGUACCACAAACUGAUGUUGAAACUAAACUAAUUGUAAAAUGUACCUUUCUAACAAAUGGCCAGACUCCUAGCUUCCCAUCAAAAAUGCAAUUACCUUCAUCGUCAUAUAUAGGUCUUGCAACUGCAGACAAUAACAUAACUUUAGCAACCGAAUUCUUAUUUUGCACUACCCUGUGUGGGUCAUCCUCUUCUGGAAGCAUAUAGUACUUCUUAUAUUUUGAUGUGAUGUUGAACCACUUCUCGUCCAUGUGGAUGAUGUUAUACAUUUCAAUGAACUUUGGUUCGUUCGGCAAUGUUUGGUGAUCUAACAUGGAAACACACCAUCGCAGCCUCGCUUUUUUGUUUUCUUCCCUCAACAAAGGCUUCAGCGUGCUAGAGUGACGUCUUAGUAGCCCUUCCUUGAACCGCCUAUGUAGAGUGCUCCUUUUCACACCAAUGGCCUUUGCUAGAGAUCGAAUAGUGCUUCUCCUAUGCAAGGGAACAUUAAGAACCUCAGAUAGGUCUACUUGCAUCUUUUUGCGGCCACACUUCUUGGACUUCCAUGAUCUAACAUCCACUGGCUGCCCUUGCGAACGGCAUUGCUUUGCUCGCUGCCAAAUGCGUUGCACUUGAGGCCUAUUAACAUGGAACAUUUCAGCAACUAUUGCUGUGCUUUUCCUUUUUAAUCUUCCCUGGUCACUUUGAUGAAGCAAUGCUGCAUAGAUUUGUUGCCAUUCAUUGUUUGUCAAAUUUCUAUACGGAUGUGUAUUACUUUCAUUUCCAUGAUGAGCAUGUUCAACAUCGGAGUCCUCCAAUUCUUCGUCUGUAAAGGUUAUGUUCACUGCAUUAGCGUACACAUCAUGAUGGAUGACAUGCAUGAGUAUGUUCACUGCAUUAGCGUACACAUCAUGAUGGCCUUUUUAAGGGCAUUUAUGUAAUUUCACACCUACCUUGGUUUCUUCACCCGGUCACACAACUAUGGUCUUUUUGGGACGGAGGGAGUACUUCACUUGCUGGAGUUAUGGCGCGCCAUUAUGCUUUGAGAGACGGCAUUCCUGAAGAGGUUGCUGGUUCUUUUUUUAAUGUGGUAAAUUUGGUACCAACUUGUCUGAGGAUUUUUUCCCAUUUUGUCUGAGUAAAUAAUCUUGAAUUGACGUGAAAAUCUCACUGGAUGGAUUCUCACACUCCAUGUACAUUAAAGCCGGGGAUAUUUGCUUCACUUCGGAGUACCGAACCCAAUAGGCGCUCGAAUGCCGUGCCAAUCAAUUUGACCUGCAAUUGACAAGAAGAAUAAAUGUUAAAUUCUGAGGCUAUAAGCUAGCCAGCCGAUAUUGAUGACGCCAGCAAUCGGCUAUCGUUAAGCCAGUCGGGGAUGGGCAAACUACGCUUAAAGCAACGUAGCUCGCCGACACACUCAGAUCCAGAUCCAACCAGCCUGCGUGAUCAGAUCACAAGAAACUUCUGAUCGAGAUAGAUCCAAACUGGAAUAAUUAUGAGAAAAGCUUAAAACAAACCGAAUUAAAUGGAUUAACCUAGCACGAUCUAAGGAGAUUUCAAUAACUUGUGGUAAAAACAUAAAGCAAACUAGAUUAAACGGAUUAAGCUAGUUAGACCUAAGCAAAUACCGAUAACUGAUGAUAAAAGCAAUAAUAAGCUAGAUUAAUGAAUUAAUUAACCUAACAGAUGGAUAACUUUUAUCGAUAAAUUGGUGAACAAGUCAAAUCCCGCCAGACGGAUCUACCUUGCUCGAUAACUUGAGUGCUAUGGAUAGAGGAAGAAGUGAUGCGCCAUCAACAUGAGUCUAUCUACGCAAUUCGACUCGGAGCUUACUAGCAAAUGAUGAACGUACCUGCUCAGAAGAACUUGUAAAGAGAAAAAAACUACUGCAACUAUGGUGAAAUUGCCUGCGAGAAAAGUAGAAGAAAUAAAUGUAAAAGUUUUACUUGGAUGUGGUUGAUCAAAAUUUGUAGAUACCGGAGAUCUGCUAUAAAUAGCGUAAACUCAGACUUGGUUGUCGAUACGUCCAGAUUACAACUUGUCUAUCACGAAACAAACCUGCCUAAUUCAAACGAUACAAAAUCUAAAAGAUAACUUGCCAACACAAUCUCAUUGGCCCCUUCCUCGAGCUCCACCGGCUGCGACGUCCAUUCUGGCCCAAGAGCCCAAUAUAAUUCUCUCCCUUGUUAUUCCUGUGUCGGCACAUUCUCCAUCGGCUAUCUAUUCAUCAAAUUGAAAUAUAAAUUUAUCUCUGAAAUUCUUUCAGUCCAAUUGGUUUUCUUUUUUACUCCGCGUGGACUCUGAUUCCACACAGUCGAAUCCUCGUGUCCCGUGCAGGAGAAGCAAAAACUCUUUUUUGCCCCAAGUUUUUCACCUUGGUGGCCUCAUAUUCGGAACACGACGGUUCACCUUGCGUCUUUUCACCUUUGAUUAUUCAAUUAUCCCUCAGGUCGAGACGCUUCCCCUUCCUUCAGUCGAUUUAAUUUACUUUCGGGUCCUCAUAAAUAACAGCCAUUGGUGCGCACCAAGUUCCAUUGGCUCUAGCUUCCUUCCUUGUUUCAGAAAAACCCUAGCCUCCAUCCUCUCCUAACAAUGGCAGGAAGUAAGCGCGCGGCCGAGGGUCCUUUUGAUCAGCCAUCGACUAUUCGUCGCCGCCACGGUUAAAGGGUUCUGCCUCUCUUUGGACUUUGUUCUCCACCCUACAGAUCUAAUCAUGUUCUCGUCUGCUGCAGCGACGAUGAAGCCUCCAGCAUGCCACGCCGAUCCCCCUCUCUAGCACCGGCAAGCCCUUCCCAUGGUGUCGACGAAUGUCCGGAGGUCUGUUGGGAAGUUGCUCAUGCAGGACAAGUGGCUGUAGAGAACGAGAUGCAUGCCACGCCCAACUCGUCGCAGCCGAUGCCCAAGUUUCAGCCCUGGAAAGUCCAGGGUCUCCUUGACGCAGCUGCCACCACUACGGAUGCGAUGAACUAUGUUACUCGGAUAUGGAUACGGGUAUCAGAUACGAUACAUAUCAGAUAUGUGGAUACACAUUUUCUCAAAAAACAACUAUGCUUAUCCUUAUCUAAUUCCGAGUCUCGAAGAGAAACCGGUGCUAAAAAAUUAGUUAAUCAGGAUCGAGCACUGAAACCACACACCUGCGAUGCAUUGUGUUGUAGUGUGAGCCAUGGAACCCGUAAUCAUUUACCAUCCAUCCUUAUCUCUUCUCUUUUCUGUUUCAACCUUAUCACUUCUUCCCUUCCUCCGCCAACCAGCUCCCCGCCCCACUCCCCCGCUACCUUUGGCCUGCGCGUCACAUCCCGUCCACGCUUCACACCCCACCUCUGCCCCCACGCCUCGCCUCAAAACUACCGGCCUCUCAUGUCACCCAUCAUUGAGGAUGAGCAAGUGAAAUAGUAUUUACUAUAAGAUAUCAGUAAACACUAUUUCACACGUGGGAGGAGCGAUUGGCUCGUACGCUACCUUUGACCCCAACGAUCGUUGUCGCCCGUAUGUAGUAAGUGUUUAGUCUUGCCCUGUGUUGUACCCCUUGCAGUAAUGAAGUUGUGUGUGCUUGUUGUUUGCUAUGUUUGUGUGCUUGUUGCUUGUGUGUUUAUCGGCAGAAAGUAGAUUCUGCCUUUUCAAAAAUACGUUUUAAACAACUUAAACAUCACUUAAUCCCAAUCUCACAAAAACUCUACCCAAUUUACAGAUGGCUUUCCGAAGCGUUAUGAGGGCCUCCUGCAUUCGGAACCCUCCGGUCGCUGAUGUGGGAGUGCAGCCGAAUGGACAGAACCCUCCUCAGAAUGAACAAGAAGUGAGCCAGAAACCGAGAAGAAAAUCAAGAAAUGCCACUGCCACCAACUCCACCCCUCGGGGACCUGGCACAAAUAAUCCACAAUCAAACCCUCAUUCUAGAAACACUGGCCAAUGCCCUUGUCAACAGACAGCCACGAGAACAAACCAUGAAUGACAAGCCUCCUCUCUCGGUCGGGGUGCUGCCACAUGAAGGCAGAAGGUCAAUUGCGAACGCGUCCGCUCCAGUCUAGAGAGCUUAUCCCGCCAAUUGACCGGCUGAGACGUGUGGGGCUAGGCACGGCCGGAGUUCGUAAGAGAGGUGAGAGAUCUUAGCCUAAGAUUUUCCUUGUGCUAGCUGAGCUGCUGCGGAAGCGGGUCACUGGGGACCUAGGGUCACUGGACCCGUCCAUUAAAAACUCCUCUUUCCUUAACUCCAGUGCAACUAAUAAAGGAACGACACGAUGUUGAACUGAUGACUUGGCAUACAGUUUCUUAGCUUAUCAUGUGUCCGAUCGUUUCAAUGCUGAAACCAAUAAUCCGACCGUCACUGAGUUAGGAGACUCAUUUCGGCUCGACAGCUGCUGAUUAGAAUGCUCGCUCGUAUGAUCCCUGUGAAAGCUGAGUAACACGCAUGCUCGUAUGUGCGGCCUUCCUUCCAUCAGAAUUUGCACAAAAGUCUGGGGGCAAAUGGGCGAUCCUUUAAAAAAGCAACAUUUUUUCCCUACAACUCAAUGAUGUACUGUUGGAAUGCUCUUGCCGUGAGAUCUUCCAUCUUUCCAAAAAGUUGCACAAAGUGCGUUCUUGCUCAAGGUAAGCCGGCCUGCCAUCUUCGAUUGGACGUUUGGAUAAGGAUUAGAAAUGGGGCCCGGCAGAAGAUUCAUAGAAUUAUUAAGGGCCGUUGCUUUUAGCUGCCCACUUUUGGGCCUUAGCCCCUGGAGGUGUCAUCUGACAGAUGAAAUCACUGCCGCCCUCCCUGUACAACAAAUUGACAGGGUGAAAGCGAGAGGAGUAAGCCAAGUGUUACUUCCUCGAUCACAAACCCUAAUUUAUCAACCUUUUUUUUUUCAGCGAAACGUUUUAAUUUGUUCAAAGGGUGAACCAGAAAAUUUCGACUUUUGGGAGAUUCGAUAAGGCAAAUAGGCCGAAAAGUACGGCCUGAGAUUAAAAUGGGUCUAACUUUCGGCCUAAGAGGAAAUGAAUACAACGCGUUCACCUACCAGCUUUUGGGCCAUUUUCUCGCUUCACUUUCAUCUGCUCUUUGGUCCGUUUAGGAUGCGAGGACCAAAAAAUUUGGCUUAGUUGGGGUGUCCUAUUCUAACUAGGCCCUGCAGAUGAUUGCAUUCAAUUUUGUUUUUUUUUCCUCUCGAUGAAGCUUAGAUAAUUAGAUGGAAGAGACAAGUGGUUUUCUUUUAGAUAAACUAUAAAACGUUCUUUACGUUUGAGUUUAUUUUGGCAGAGAAGCGCACCACACCGCUUAAGAUCCAAAAUUUGCAUAAGCAUCUCCAAAAGUCUUUUUAAAUUUCACCCUCUAAAUUAUUGUGUUGAAGAGCCUUCUACAUAAAAAUUGUUUUUUAUAUGUUUUUACUCUCCAGCAGUUUUUCUAUAUUUCUUAUGUACACUCUAGAAAGCAUUUUUGUUAUCUAUCUUUGGUUAGCAAGAAAUGUGGAAUGAAGGAUGGCCACAUUUGGAUAACCGGUUAGAAGGUAUUUUUCCAUCAAAAUCUUUAAUUCUAACAAUGAGAAAAGAUAUAGAGAGUCUCUUGUAGUUGCUAUGCAAGUAAACGGUUCUUUAGGUCAAGUAAUAAUUGCAUCACAUACCGUUUUAAUUCAAAUUUGUUUUUCUAAAUUAGUUACGUGACACAUUAAUUUCACUUUUUUUUCCCAUCUCAGGUGGCUGUGGAGCUUGUUAUUGUCUUGACUAGUUUUCCUAGAGGUUAGCCUGAGACCUCUCUGGACCUUGUUGCUUACCACUUUGAACUAAUUGAAAAUAGGUAUUAACCCCCGGGGCAGGCAGUGGUUUAAUUUGCUGACGCAGAAACUGGAAUUCCAGCAAUGGUUUUAACUU